AGAGUUUGAUCAUGGCUCAGAUUGAACGCUGGCGGCAGGCCUAACACAUGCAAGUCGAACGGUAACAGGAAGAAGCUUGCUUCUUUGCUGACGAGUGGCGGACGGGUGAGUAAUGUCUGGGAAACUGCCUGAUGGAGGGGGAUAACUACUGGAAACGGUAGCUAAUACCGCAUAACGUCGCGAGACCAAAGAGGGGGACCUUCGGGCCUCUUGCCAUCGGAUGUGCCCAGAUGGGAUUAGCUAGUAGGUGGGGUAACGGCUCACCUAGGCGACGAUCCCUAGCUGGUCUGAGAGGAUGACCAGCCACACUGGAACUGAGACACGGUCCAGACUCCUACGGGAGGCAGCAGUGGGGAAUAUUGCACAAUGGGCGCAAGCCUGAUGCAGCCAUGCCGCGUGUAUGAAGAAGGCCUUCGGGUUGUAAAGUACUUUCAGCGGGGAGGAAGGGAGUAAAGUUAAUACCUUUGCUCAUUGACGUUACCCGCAGAAGAAGCACCGGCUAACUCCGUGCCAGCAGCCGCGGUAAUACGGAGGGUGCAAGCGUUAAUCGGAAUUACUGGGCGUAAAGCGCACGCAGGCGGUUUGUUAAGUCAGAUGUGAAAUCCCCGGGCUCAACCUGGGAACUGCAUCUGAUACUGGCAAGCUUGAGUCUCGUAGAGGGGGGUAGAAUUCCAGGUGUAGCGGUGAAAUGCGUAGAGAUCUGGAGGAAUACCGGUGGCGAAGGCGGCCCCCUGGACGAAGACUGACGCUCAGGUGCGAAAGCGUGGGGAGCAAACAGGAUUAGAUACCCUGGUAGUCCACGCCGUAAACGAUGUCGACUUGGAGGUUGUGCCCUUGAGGCGUGGCUUCCGGAGCUAACGCGUUAAGUCGACCGCCUGGGGAGUACGGCCGCAAGGUUAAAACUCAAAUGAAUUGACGGGGGCCCGCACAAGCGGUGGAGCAUGUGGUUUAAUUCGAUGCAACGCGAAGAACCUUACCUGGUCUUGACAUCCACGGAAGUUUUCAGAGAUGAGAUGUGCCUUCGGGAACCGUGAGACAGGUGCUGCAUGGCUGUCGUCAGCUCGUGUUGUGAAAUGUUGGGUUAAGUCCCGCAACGAGCGCAACCCUUAUCCUUUGUUGCCAGCGGUCCGGCCGGGAACUCAAAGGAGACUGCCAGUGAUAAACUGGAGGAAGGUGGGGAUGACGUCAAGUCAUCAUGCCCCUUACGACCAGGGCUACACACGUGCUACAAUGGCGCAUACAAAGAGAAGCGACCUCGCGAGAGCAAGCGGACCUCAUAAAGUGCGUCGUAGUCCGGAUUGGAGUCUGCAACUCGACUCCAUGAAGUCGGAAUCGCUAGUAAUCGUGGAUCAGAAUGCCACGGUGAAUACGUUCCCGGGCCUUGUACACACCGCCCGUCACACCAUGGGAGUGGGUUGCAAAAGAAGUAGGUAGCUUAACCUUCGGGAGGGCGCUUACCACUUUGUGAUUCAUGACUGGGGUGAAGUCGUAACAAGGUAACCGUAGGGGAUCCUGCGGUUG
rnacentral:rRNA from 1 species